rnacentral:rRNA from 1 species
UGGCUCAGGACGAACGCUGGCGGUGUGCUUCACACAUGCAAGUCGAACGAGGUAGCAAUACCUAGUGGCGGACGGGUGAGUAACGCGUGGGAAUCUGCCUUUAGAUGGGGGAUAACGGGUCGAAAGACUCGCUAAUACCGCAUAUGACGAAAGUUGAAAGGAGUAAUCCGUCUAAAGAUGAGCCCGCGUCCGAUUAGCUAGUUGGUAGAGUAAAAGCCUACCAAGGCGACGAUCGGUAGCUGGUCUGAGAGGAUGAUCAGCCACAAUGGGACUGAGACACGGCCCAUACUCCUACGGGAGGCAGCAGUGGGGAAUUUUACGCAAUGGGCGAAAGCCUGACGUAGCGACACCGCGUGAGCGAAGAAGCCCCUUGGGGUGUAAAGCUCUGUCAGCUGGAACGAAAAAAUGACGGUACCAGCAGAGGAAGCAUCGGCUAACUACGUG